rnacentral:rRNA from 1 species
GACGAACGCUGGCGGCGUGCCUAAUACAUGCAAGUUGAGCGCUGAAGGUUGGUACUUGUACCAACUGGAUGAGCAGCGAACGGGUGAGUAACGCGUGGGGAAUCUGCCUUUGAGCGGGGGACAACAUUUGGAAACGAAUGCUAAUACCGCAUAAAAACUUUAAACACAAGUUUUAAGUUUGAAAGAUGCAAUUGCAUCACUCAAAGAUGAUCCCGCGUUGUAUUAGCUAGUUGGUGAGGUAAAGGCUCACCAAGGCGAUGAUACAUAGCCGACCUGAGAGGGUGAUCGGCCACAUUGGGACUGAGACAAGGCCCAAACUCCUACGGGAGGCAGCAGUAGGGAAUCUUCGGCAAUGGACGAAAGUCUGACCGAGCAACGCCGCGGGAGUGAAGAAGGUUUUCGGAUCGUAAAACUCUGUUGGUAGAGAAGAACGUUGGUGAGAGUGGAAAGCUCAUCAAGUGACGGUAACUACACAGAAAGGGACGGCUAACUACGUG